rnacentral:rRNA from 1 species
CGAAGUAGCAAUACUUAGUGGCAGACGGGUGAGUAACAUGUGGGUAUCUUCCCUUUGGUGAGGAAUAACACGAGGAAACUUGUGCUAAUACCUCAUAAGUCUUUACGGAGAAAGCUUUAUGCGCCAAUGGAUGAGCCCGCACUUGAUUAGUUUGUUGGUGGGGUAAUGGCCUACCAAGACUUUUAUCAAUAGCUGAUCUGAGAGGAUGAUCAGCCACACUGGGACUGAGACACGGCCCAAACUCCUACGGGAGGCAGCAGUAGGGAAUAUUGCACAAUGGAGGAAACUCUGAUGCAGCGAUGCCGCGUGAGUGAAGAAGGCCCUUGGGUUGUAAAGCUCUUUCGUCGGGGAAGAAAAUGACUGUACCCGAAUAAGAAGGUCCGGCUAACUUCGUGCCAGCAGCCGCGGUAAUACGAAGGGACCUAGCGUAGUUCGGAAUUACUGGGCUUAAAGAGUUCGUAGGUGGUUAAAAUAGUUGGUUGUGAAAUCCCGAAGCUUAACUUCGGAACUGCAAUCAAAACUUUUUAGCUAGAGUAUGAUAGAGGAAAGCAGAAUUUCUAGUGUAGAGGUGAAAUUCGUAGAUAUUAGAAAGAAUACCAAUUGCGAAGGCAGCUUUCUGGAUCAUUACUGACACUGAGGAACGAAAGCAUGGGUAGCGAAGAGGAUUAGAU